CAAUAGCGUAUAUUUAAGUUGCUGCAGUUAAAAAGCUCGUAGUUGGAUUUCUGGUGGGAGCGAUCGGUCUGGCGCUUAGCGCGAGUACUUGCAUCGUCUCCGGCCAUCCUUGGGGAGAGUCUGUCUGGCAUUAAGUUGUCGGGCAGAGGAUCCUCAUCGUUUACUGUGAAAAAAUUAGAGUGUUCAAAGCAGGCUUAUGCCGUUGAAUAUAUUAGCAUGGAAUAAUAAGAUAGGACUUUGGUACUAUUUUGUUGGUUUGCGCACCAAAGUAGUGAUUAAUAGGGACAGUUGGGGGUAUUCGUAUUCCGUUGUCAGAGGUGAAAUUCUUGGAUUUACGGAAGACGAACUACUGCGAAAGCAUUUACCAAGGAUGUUUUCAUUAA
rnacentral:rRNA from 1 species